AAGACUAUACUUUCAGGGAUCAUUUCUAUAGUAUCAAACUAGAGAAGUGCACUCGAAAGUGGUCGGUUGAGCAAGCCACGAGGAGGAGUCAAAGUGUUCUCUUCUGAGCGCGAAGCGAGUGGGCAGUGCUGCAUUUCUGUGGCUGCUGCCUGCUAUUGAUGACCGUUCUGGCUUCCUUAUGUUAAGGAGGUUGGAGGGAGAGAACACAGACUGAGUGGU